GGCGGUCUCGUUGCCAGGGGGGAGUGAGAGCGGAUCCCUGCGAUCCUUGACGGAAGGGGAGAGAUCACGCCAUGGAGAGAAGAGGACCUCAAGUCUCUGGGGCCGGAGACGGUGAGGUCAAACAACUCGAAGAUUGCUCUGUCUCAAAGUGAGUUCUCUCUCUCUCUGUCUCUCUCUAUGCUUUAGUUCGAACCUGAAUCCCUUGCUAUGUCUAAAGUGUGAUCUCUGGCGCCGCGCCUAGUUUUUCUUGAUUUUCCGUAGUUGAAAUAUUCUUGGGAAUGAAUCUAUUAACUAUGGUUUUGCAUUGGCAUCUGACAAUACAUGAGCAGUCUUACUUAUGUAAGUAAUCCGUAACACAUUGAAUGUAUUAUCAUAUCGUUCUAUUUUACUUGAUUCUGGUUUUCGUGGGCUGUCAAGGACACAAGAACAGUGUUUCGCACAUCUAUUCUUUGCAAAGAAAAAGCUGAAGGAAUUGCCAGAGUUACUGACGUAUGUAGUUUAUAUUCUAGUUCUAACGCUUAUACAAUUUUCAACAUAUCAUCGUCGCAUUCUUUUAGCGACCACAUUCAUGGAGGUGAUCUUGAUCUAGCAGACAUGAUUAAUCUAUAAGGUAUGUUACGAAAUAUUGGCAUCAAGCUACCCACAUUCUAACCGACGCAGAUCUUCAAUAUUUCGCGUUCAAAUUGCGGAAAUCCGCUGCCAUUUGACACCACAGCAUCUUUGCAUCUUGUUUUCCCUGAAAAUGAAAUAAGGUGUUGUGCGAGGGUUUGAGAAGAAUAUGGGAAGUCGACCAUUAUUCUGGAAGAAGUGAUUGGCAAGAAAGGACGAGCACUCAAGAAACCAAGGGAGGGAGAGACAGAAGGAAUAUAAGCAAUGAAGAACUUACCUUUUCGUGAUCUAUCCUUAAUCAUCACCAAUAGGGGAUAUCUAAAAGAAGUAAAAAUGGGGUGUAAUAUAAAGUAUUAUUUCUAUCCAUGAUCUCUGCCUAAAAAUGGAUUAGAAAGAACAGCUCAGAUUUUCGUCGUUAUGUUUUCAAUAAAAAUUUUGCCAAUCCCUGAACUCUCAUAAAACUCUUCUACUAUUUCCUUCACACGACGCACCUCGGAGCAGAGCUUGUGUAAGCACUUUUUUAUCAAUCAAAUUCAGUAUUCACUGAAUUAUUAUGUCUUUGUCUGACGGAAUGAUGAAUGCCUGUAAAACCUACCACUAUGAAUGUGAACUGUUCCUAGUAUAUCUCUUCACAUCACAUUUAAUUUUCAACAUUGAAG
rnacentral:lncRNA from 1 species